AGAGUUUGAUCCUGGCUCAGGACGAACGCUGGCGGCGUGCUUAACACAUGCAAGUCGAACGAUGAACCAGGGCUUGCCCUGGGGAUUAGUGGCGAACGGGUGAGUAACACGUGGGCAACCUGCCCCUGACUUUGGGAUAACUCCGGGAAACCGGGGCUAAUACCGAAUAUGAACCUCGACGGCAUCGUCGAGGUUGGAAAGUUUUUCGGUCAGGGAUGGGCCCGCGGCCUAUCAGCUUGUUGGUGGGGUAAUGGCCUACCAAGGCGACGACGGGUAGCCGGCCUGAGAGGGCGACCGGCCACACUGGGACUGAGACACGGUCCAGACUCCUACGGGAGGCAGCAGUGGGGAAUAUUGCGCAAUGGGCGAAAGCCUGACGCAGCGACGCCCGCGUGAGGGACGACGGCCCUUAGGGUUGGAAAACCUCUUUCAGCACGGACGAAGCGAAAGUGACGGUUCCUGCAGAGGAAGCACCCGGCCAACUACGUGCCAGCAGCCGCGGUA
rnacentral:rRNA from 1 species